rnacentral:rRNA from 1 species
ACCCGCUGAACUUAAGCAUAUCAAUAAGCGGAGGAAAU